GCCCGGGUGGUGGAAUUGGUAGACACAAGGGACUUAAAAUCCCUCGGCCUUAAAAGCCGUGCCGGUUCGAUUCCGGCCCCGGGUA
rnacentral:tRNA from 1 species